UGGGGAAUAUUGCACAAUGGGGGAAACCCUGAUGCAGCGACGCCGCGUGAACGAAGAAGGUAUUCGUAUCGUAAAGUUCUGUCCUAUGGGAAGAUAAUGACAGUACCAUAGAAGAAAGCUCCGGCUAAAUACGUGCCAGCAGCCGCGGUAAUACGUAUGUAGCGAGCGUUGUCCGGAAUUAUUGGGCGUAAAGGGUACGCAGGCGGUUUAAUAAGUCGAAUGUUAAAGAUCGGGGCUCAACCCCGUAAAGCAUUGGAAACUGAUAAACUUGAGUAGUGGAGAGGAAAGUGGAAUUCCUAGUGUAGUGGUGAAAUACGUAGAUAUUAGGAGGAAUACCAGUAGCGAAGGCGACUUUCUGGACACAAACUGACGCUGAGGUACGAAAGCGUGGGGAGCAAACAGG
rnacentral:rRNA from 1 species